AUACGAAUGCCCCUAGCGUUAUACGGAUUCACUGGGCGUAAAGCGUCCGCAGGGGGCCUGGUAAGUUACAUGUAAAAGCCCGGAGCUCAACUUCGGUUAUGCAUGUAAUACUGCUAGGCUAGAGGCCGGGAGAGGCGCGUGGAAUUCCCGGUGUAGCGGUAAAAUGCGUUGAUAUCGGGAGGAACACCAAAAGCGAAGGCAGCGCGCUGGAACGGUCCUGACCCUCAGGGACGAAAGCGUGGGGAGCGAAUGGGAUUAGAAACCCUAGUAGUCC
rnacentral:rRNA from 1 species